GAUUUGUUCUUUAUUUAUUUAAAAUUUUUCCCCUUUAUGUUUCUCAUUUAUCCUCUCUCUCACAAAAAGAGGUUUUUUUUUUUUAUCGAUCAACAAAAAAAAAUUGUUUAUUUGCAGGGCGCCACGAUCUGCAUUUCUCUCGAUCGUAGCGAAUAAUUCAAUUCCCCGGCGUCGUAAUCUCCUCCUCCAUUUGCAAAUCAAUCGAUUAAUUUGAUCUUUGAGUGUAAUCCAUGGAGGGUUAAGAGGCAUUGUUUUUGAGAUGGAAUUUUAGCUGCUGACGUGGUUUUUUUUUGGAUUUGGAAAAUUCGGAAACAAUGUCUACGAGAGGUGAGCAUCAAACGGUACCGCUGUCGGUUUUAUUGAAACGAGAAUUAGCUAGCGAAAAGAUUGAAGACCCGGAGAUUGUACACGGGCUAGCAAGUCACAGCAAGAAAGGUGAAGAUUUUACGUUGCUUAAAACAGAAUGCCAAAGAGCGCUAGGAGAUGGUUUCACCACAUUCUCGGUUUUUGGGCUCUUUGACGGACACAAUGGAUCUGCAGCUGCUAUUUACACGAAAGAGAAUCUUCUUAACAAUGUUCUAAGUGCCAUUCCGGCAGAUCUUAAUAGAGAUGAAUGGGUUGCUGCCCUUCCGAGAGCUUUGGUUGCAGGUUUUGUUAAAACAGAUAAAGAUUUUCAACAGAGAGCAAAAACGUCAGGAACUACCGUAACCUUUGUGAUAUUAGAAGGAUGGGUUGUAACAGUGGCAUCUGUUGGUGAUUCCCGCUGUAUAUUUGAAUCAGCUGAAGGUGGAAUAUAUCACUUGUCCGCUGAUCAUAGGCUUGAAUGCAAUGAAGAGGAGAGGCAUCGAAUCACUGCAAGUGGGGGUGAGGUUGGUCGGUUAAAUGCUGGUGGUGGUGCAGAGAUUGGUCCUUUGAGAUGUUGGCCUGGAGGCUUGUGUCUUUCACGAUCCAUUGGUGAUAUGGACGUUGGGGAGUUCAUUGUUCCUGUUCCAUACGUAAAGCAAGUAAAGUUGUCUACGGCUGGUGGUAGGAUGAUUAUCUCUAGUGAUGGUGUUUGGGAUGCUUUAACAGCUGAAGAAGCUCUUGAUUGUUGUCGUGGAAUGCCUCCAGAUGCAGCAGCUGCCCAGAUUGUGAAAGAAGCUGUAAAGCCAAAGGGUCUUCGAGAUGAUACAACCUGCAUUGUUGUUGAUAUCUUACCACAAGAGAAGCCAGCUGCUCUGCCACCACCAAAGAAGCCUGUCAAAGGUAUGUUAAAAGCCAUGUUUCGCAAGAAGAAUUCUGGAUCAUCUUCUCAAGAUAAAGAUUACAUGGAACCGGAUGUGGUGGAGGAAUUAUUUGAGGAGGGAUCUGCUUGGCUUUCGGAAAGGUUGGACACUAAAUAUCCACUAUGCAACAUGUUUAAGCUUUUCAUGUGUGCAGUCUGUCAAUUGGAGAUGAAGCCCGGAGAGGGCAUUUCUAUUCAUGUUGGCACAUCUAAUCCGGUAAAGUUACGUCCAUGGGACGGUCCAUUCCUUUGCUCUAGUUGCAAUGAGAAGAAAGAAGCCAUGGAAGGAAAAAGACCAUCAGGAAAUAGACAUGGUAGUGAUAGUGACUAGCUAGAUCUUUCCAAAUACUGUUGGGUUUGGUGGGCACUGUCAAUUGUUCCAGCGGUGGUCAUAAACGGGGAAAUAGUGCAUUCUCAAAAUAGUAACUUCCUUCAAUUUCUUAUCGGUGGGCAUCCAGCAUCCAUUUGAAUCUAUACUCUCAAGUUCCGGCUUUGGGAGUAAGAAGACAAAAAUGAUUAAAAAAAAUAUCAGGAAGGUUUUCAUAGACUCGGCAGUGGAUCCUAGCAUGCCUUGAAGUUGGGACCAGCUUUGCUGUGGGGACGAGUAGACACGGCUUGGCUGGAGGAUGUGGACUCUAGUCAACAUACAUGUGAACUCGCUUUCCACACCCUCUUCCUUGUACCAUUGAAGUUCUUUUUGAAAGGCAAGUUGCCUUACUUUUUUUAACAUUAGGUAGAGUUUGGUUUUAGAAAAUAAAAUUACUAAUCAAUUGAUUAUAAUCUAUUUAAAUCGAAUAAACUAACUGAUUAAGAGUAGGAUUUUUAUUAAACACCGUCGUUAAUUGCAUUAGAAACAAAAAAAAGGGGGUCUAAUUCUUGUUUUAGUUCUUUUACUAUGCUGAAAAUUAAUAAUUAAUCCCUCAAAGAA